UUGACGGGGGGGGUUGUAUCGUGAACCUAGCUUGUUUCCCCUCAGCCAUGCCAACGUUUAGGAGUGUGUAACUACUGUUGACGGCUUUCAACUGCUGUUAACAGCACAUGCGCUACCGCGCGUAUAUGUCCCGCGCAAAUUUAAUUUCAUUAAAAAAAAAAAAAAAUCUUUUUUUUUUUUUUUUUCUUCACCCUCGCGAUCGACUUGGGAUCUGUCAGCGAUCUACUGGUAGACCGCGAUCGACUGGUUGGGCACCCCUGGUAUAGAGACUCACAUAUAGUACAGCUUGGUAUGAGGUUAUCUUAUUUACAAUUGGCUUAAAGUUUGUCUAUUCAUAUACAGUCAGGUUGAAAGUGCAUUGUAAAACAUAUCAGUUCGUUUUUUCAGUACAUUAAAGUAUGGCAUAUUUUUAUUUGCUACCCAGAGACACUUUCACUAAUAUUAUACUUAAGCUUAUAGUGUGUUUGUUAAACACUAUAUAGCAUGCAUUAUAAAACCUUUAGGAAAAUUACCUGUACACCUUAUUGUAAUUAUUUUUGAUGUUUCUGAAAGAUUGAUCGAGAGCAGGACAGAAGAGUCCUCCCUGAGGAGUGGCCCCAGUGGAUCCCCAGAUUCCCACAGAAGAUUCAGACAGCGAGAGAGAGGAGCCUCCAACAACGAGUGGCGGCCCAAGGUACCUCCAGACAUUUCCAAAUCAAGAACCGAUAGAUCUUUAAGGACAGUCUUUGAAGUGUUCAGUUUUAAUGAGAUGUCACUGUUUGGAUUCUCUGUCUGAUAUGUGUAAAUGUGGCUCAAACUUGAAUCUAAUCUUGCAGAGUCCGCCUAAUACCCAUUGUGAAUAUGAU